GCGGCCGGGGGAGCGGGCAAACCGAAUCGCUCCGGCGGCAACUUCCGUGACGCCUCCGGGUUCCGCCUCGGCUCGCGCGGCGCCAUGGCGUUCGCCUGCUUGGAAGAUCCAACAUUGGAGAGGCAUUUCAAAGGCCACCGAGAUGCAGUAACUAGUGUGGAUUUCAGUCUAAAUAAAAAACAGCUAGUUAGUGGGUCUAUGGAUUCGUGUUUGAUGAUUUGGAGUAUGAAACCUCAGAUGAGAGCCUAUCGCUUUAUGGGUCACAAGGAUGCAGUAAUGUGUGUUCAUUUUUCACCAUCUGGCCAUCUGAUUGCUUCUGGCUCUAGAGACAAAACAGUUCGCUUGUGGGUGCCUAGUGUCAAGGGCGAAUCGACUGCAUUCAAGGCUCAUACAGCAACCGUCAGAAGUGUUCACUUUUCUAGUGAUGGCCAAUCACUGGUAACAGCAUCUGAUGACAAAACCAUUAAAGUAUGGGCUGUCCACAGGCAAAAAUUCUUAUUCUCACUUAAUCAGCACAUAAACUGGGUUCGCUGUGCUAAAUUUUCUCCUGAUGGAAGAUUGAUUGUAUCAUCUAGUGAUGACAAAACUGUCAAACUUUGGGAUAAAGCAAGCAGAGAAUGUGUACAUUCUUUCUGUGAGCAUGGUGGGUUUGUACCUCAUGUAGACUUUCACCCAAGUGGUACAUGUAUUGCUGCAGCUGGCACAGACAACACAGUGAAAGUAUGGGACGUUAGGAUGAAUAGGCUUCUGCAGCAUUAUCAAGUACACAGUGCUUCUGUGAACUGCUUGUCUUUUCACUCCUCUGGAAACUACCUCAUUACUGCCUCCAAUGAUUCAACUCUAAAAAUACUGGAUUUACUGGAAGGAAGACUGCUCUAUACACUUCAUGGCCACCAGGGACCAGCUACCUGUGUUUCUUUUUCAAGAGCAGGAGACUUAUUUGCUUCUGGAGGCUUUGAUGAGCAGGUGAUGGUAUGGAAAACAAACUUUGAUGCUGCUGAUUAUAGUGAUGUACUAAAAACACGCAAAUGUAGUAUGAAUGUGAAUGGUGCUGAUUAUGGAGAUACAGUGAAAACACAGAAAUCGAGUGUGAAUAGUGUUUUUAACAAUAUGAAACCAGUGGAUGCUAUCAGCAGUGAGGUUCAAAAACAUGGAAUGUACAGGCAAGAAAAGUCAGAGAUGGAUUUUGGAGAAAUUCCAGAUAAACAGAAAAUUCAAGAAAUGGAAACCCCAGAAUUGGUCAGAAGGCAGCAAGAACAGAUAGAUGAAGCCAGUCUUGCCAGUACCCUUCAACAUAUUGUGGGACAGCUGGAUGUUCUCACCCAGCCCUUUCUGCUCAACCUGCCAGAUAAAGGUGACGGUCACAGUUUGAUUCCCCCUCCACUCGAUCUAAAUGUUUUUGGUGAUGGUGUGAAAACAUGGAAGAACAAAAGGAUUGCCAAUGCCUUCUGCCUGGAACAAGAGGUGGAGAUGUAAAACAGCAUGAGCGUCCUGUCAGUGCCGCGAAGCAAUUAGCAGGCUGAUCGGAACUCCCCCAGCAACUGCUCAGACUAGAUUGUUAAGGACGGCAGGAGACUUAGCAACCUUCUGUCUGUCUCCCUUCUUGUCUUUAUUUGGAGACUCUGGAUAUGCAGCCCAUGAAACCUGCUGUUACUUUAUAGCAUGCAAGGUGUUGAAGGGGCCCCGUGCCUGUGGAUUCUCGCAAAAUCACGAGGCGUGCAGCACAGAUGGCUGCGACCAAAGCACUGCUCCUUCAC